GAUGAAGAACGUAGCGAAAUGCGAUAAGUAAUGCGAAUUGCAGAAUUCAGUGAAUCAUCGAAUCUUUGAACGCACAUUGCGCCCUUUGGUAUUCCUUAGGGCAUGCCUGUUCGAGCGUCAUUUAAACCUUCAAGCUAAGCUUGGUGUUGGGUGACUGUCCGCCUCACGGCGGACUCGCCUCAAAAUUAUUGGCGGCCGGUACAUUGGCUUCGAGCGCAGCAGAAACGCGAACUCGGGCCCGUCGUAUUGGCUCCCAGAAGCUAUCUUCACAAUUUUGACCUCGGAUCAGGUAGGGAUACCCGCUGAACUUAAGCAUAUCAAUAAGCGGAGGA
rnacentral:misc_RNA from 1 species